rnacentral:rRNA from 2 species
UACGGGGGGGGCAAGCGUUGUUCGGAAUUACUGGGCGUAAAGGGCGCGUAGGCGGCCUGCUAAGUCACACGUGAAAUCCCUCGGCUCAACCGGGGAACUGCGUGUGAUACUGGCGGGCUCGAAUUCGGGAGAGGGAUGUGGAAUUCCAGGUGUAGCGGUGAAAUGCGUAGAUAUCUGGAGGAACACCGGUGGCGAAGGCGGCAUCCUGGACCGAGAUUGACGCUGAGGCGCGAAAGCUAGGGUAGCAAACGGG